rnacentral:rRNA from 1 species
UGGCCGGAAGGUCCGGGUAAUCUUGUGAAACUUUGUCGUGCUGGGGAUAGAGCAUUGCAAUUAUUGCUCUUCAACGAGGAAUGCCUAGUAAGCGCAAGUCAUCAGCUUGCGUUGAUUACGUCCCUGCCCUUUGUACACACCGCCCGUCGCUACUACCGAUUGAAUGGCUUAGUGAGGUCUUUGGAUUGGCUUUAGGGACCCGGCAACGGGACUCUGUUGCUGAGAAGUUGAUCAAACUUGGUCAUUUAGAGGAAGUAAAAGUCGUAACAAGGUUUCCGUAGCUUAAGUCUACGAAGAACAGCAAUGUUCCUUCCGCAGAGUACACUUGCAGAAGCCUUAGUGGCCCGAAAGGGUUUCACCAGCGACUCUAAACAAGUAGGUGGAUUAAACGCUAGUCUCUUUGGAAGAGGCAACACUAUCAAAUUGCGGGAAGAUCCUGUCAGGUCCACAUCACCGCGGCUCAUCGAAAGGUGUAGCGCAGCACCAGGCUAACAACCUUGGGUAUGGUAAUAGUAUGUGGAAUAGGGAGAAUCUGCAGCCAAGCCCCUCUCUUGGGGUGCAGUUCACAGGCCAAAUGGUAGUGGGCACUAAGGUGCUUAAGAUAUGGUCGAGUCCCAAUUGAAAAGUUGGGUACAAGUACUCUGAUUGAUUACAUGCAGUCUAUGCUCAAUCAAAUACAACUAGUUGUAAAUGCAAAUGUUCCGUAGGUGAACCUGC